UGCCUGAGAUGCCAACCUGAGCAAGCCCGAUCCUAUCUGAUCUUGUGAAGCUAAGCAGGGUCGGGCCUGGUUAGUACUUGGAUGGGAGACCACCUAGGGAGACCAGGUGCUGAGGUGU
rnacentral:rRNA from 1 species